CCAGACUCCUACGGGAGGCAGCAGUGGGGAAUAUUGCACAAUGGGGGAAACCCUGAUGCAGCGACGCCGCGUGAGCGAUGAAGUAUUUCGGUAUGUAAAGCUCUAUCAGCAGGGAAGAAAAUGACGGUACCUGACUAAGAAGCCCCGGCUAACUACGUGCCAGCAGCCGCGGUAAUACGUAGGGGGCAAGCGUUAUCCGGAUUUACUGGGUGUAAAGGGAGCGUAGACGGCGGUGCAAGCCAGAUGUGAAAGCCCGGGGCUCAACCCCGGGACUGCAUUUGGAACUGUGCUGCUAGAGUGUCGGAGAGGCAGGCGGAAUUCCUAGUGUAGCGGUGAAAUGCGUAGAUAUUAGGAGGAACACCAGUGGCGAAGGCGGAUUGCUGGACAGUAACUGACGCUGAGGCGCGAAAGCGUGGGGAGCAAACAGGAUUAGAUACCCCCGUA
rnacentral:rRNA from 1 species